AUGAGAGACAUGGAGGUAACCAGUGGUGGUGGUGGGAGGAGCAUUUUAUUCCAGAAACUCCACGUGUCGAACAUGAAAGAGUCCAUUCCUAUCCCCCUUCCUUUAUUUCGAAGAAAAGGAAUAUUAAACGGAGUCCAAACGGAACGAAACCUUCGGCAGUGUGAUUUUUUGGAAGAAUAUGAUACUCAAAACUUGGAGUCCACCUCAGAAGAUCCUCGAGGAGGCCACAAGACAGGAGGCCGCUCCCCCCUUAUAGGGUGGUGGCCUCCUAUCUCGUGGGCCCCUCGAGCACCUCCUGACCGACUUCUUUCGCCUAUAUAUGCCUACGUACGCUAA
rnacentral:rRNA from 1 species